rnacentral:tRNA from 1 species
GCUGGGGCUCAGUGGUAGAGAGCUUACCUAGCACGUGUGAGGCCCUGGGUUCAAUUCUCAGCACCGCA